rnacentral:sRNA from 1 species
AUCAUUUUUCCCCACAUCGGUAUGCAUUUACGGCAUACACAAAAAUACAACACAUGUAAAUGAAUGUUAUUCGUAAAGUGAAGAAUUUAUGAUAAUAAAUAAUGUCCAAUGAAAAUUCCCCAUUUCUUUUUCUCUUGGUGUAACAAAUGGCGCGAAAUUAGAGAAUGGCGUUGUAUGUAAACAAAAAGAUUUGCUUUUGAGUCAUGUCUGGAAAAGAGGACACAGGGGAAUCUCAGUGUGUUCCUGAAAUGCCAUUGGACACAAAUGGGUCUAUUGAAGACUAUGUUGAUGUUGAAUUGGAGAAACUGGCUGUUUGUUUGGCAUUGCCUGGUCAGAUAAAAAAGAAAGCCAACUCUGCCUUAGAAAUGUUGCUCAAUCACGAUGAACACAAAAUGAUCUCAAAGUCUAGUGCAAUAGUUUGUGCAAUAUAUAUUGCGGCCAUUGAUGUAAGAAUGCCGUACGGGCCCUCUGAUCCCCAACUAGAGAUUGGGUACUUGGACAAACCAGAAAUUACAGUUUCAGAUAUCAUACAGAAAUCCCAAAACAGUGUGCCAGUAUUAUUUAAAUGGAUGAACCAUUUUCGUGAUGCUCGUCUAAGCGAGGCGGUCAGAUUUCAUCUGAAACAACUGGAGAAAGAUUACUGUGUCGUCUCUGCACUGUAUCAUACACAUGAAAGGCUGUGUUGUUCCAUCUUUAAAGAAGAGCAAAGAGGGGAGACAGAUGGCAUUCCACUACAGACCUUAAGCUGUGUGAAUGACAAGAAGCAGCUGUGUUGGGUGCUAUUUCUUCUCGCCAAGGAGAGAUUGUUGACCGACUGUCAGAUUGUGGAGGCCUUUUACAUCUUGGUUUGCUGCUAUGAAUUUGUGCUACGCACCACACCUGGUUUCCAGUUGAAUACUCCUUAUGAUGAUGUUCAGGUUUCAGAGGACUCGGAGAAACACUCGGGACUGAUGUUAAAGACUCUUUGUGAACAGUUUGAUCUCUCCUAUGAAGAGGUUAGUCUUGUGCAGAAGAACAGAGUGGAACCCUGCUUUCAAAAACUAUUUAAUGGAGAUAAAAGCUUAGAGCUAACGGCCCUGACAGAGCAGUAUGAGAAGGACUACAGACAGAAAGGAGACCUGAAUGAGUUGUUGUUCCUGAGGAAUGACCCCCACCUCCAACCCCUGGAACAGAAUGGCAAUCUGUCAUCACCAAGAAAUGAUGAGCCUGAUGGACCACCCAUCACACCUGUCAGAGCGGCUCUAAACACAAUACAGAAUUUGAAAAAGAUACUGUUUAGCACUCGGGAUGAACCUAGUCCAGACCUCUUAGUUCAUUUUAAGAACUGCUCUCAGAACCCACUGUCGUCAAUCAAGGAGCGACUCAGUCGUUUAGAGACAGUCUUCACUAACACAUUCGCUGAGCAGACAGACAGAAACCAGACAGCCAUUGCUAAGCAGAGAUUUGUUCUGGCUAAGCGUCUUUAUUACAGAGUAAUGGAGUCCAUGCUGAAUCAUGAGAGAGAGCGACUGUCACAGACAGAUUUCAGCAAGCUGCUGAACAUUGACACCUUCCACGUCUCGCUGCUGGCCUGUUCCCUGGAAAUCGUGAUGAUGACUUACGGAGCUUCUUGGAACGCUUCAUUUGGGACUGUGUGUGCUGGAGAUUCAAAAUUCUCUUUCCCUUGGAUAAUACAGACAUUUGGUCUCCAUUGCUAUGACUUCUUUAAAGUGCUGGAGAGUUUUAUCAAAGCAGAACCAAUUUUGACCAAAGAGAUUGUGAAGCACUUACAAAAUUUGGAGAAAAGAAUUUUAGAAGAGCUGGCAUGGACCCCAGAAUCCCCGGUGUUUGAAGCUCUGAGUAAAUCUGAGGCUCAGGCUGUCCAGUUGGAUCCCCCACCCCUCCCACCGGUCCAAGCCACUCUGUCCUCGGCUGACAUGUAUUUGUCUCCAAUGAGAGUUGUGGUCAAGAGUAAAUCAUCUUCCUCCUUGAGUGGACAAUCGCCUCAAAAAACAGCCUCCACCUUCUCAGGACAUGAACUGCCCAGUCCUGACAAAUCCACGGGAAAAAAGUCACAGUCUUUGGCUAUCUUCCUCAAUAAAGUUUGUCGGUUGGGAUACCAUCGGCUGGAGCAGCUGUUCUCUCUCCUGUUUUUACCCAAGGAUAUUCAACAAAGGAUCUGGACUUGUUUGGAGUACUGUGUAACAAAAAGAACAGGUUUACUAAAAAACCGCCAUUUAGAUCAGAUAAUGCUCUGCUCUGUGUAUGGAAUAUGUAAGGUGAUGGAGAGAGAAAUUAAGUUCAAAGACAUCAUCAGGACAUACAGUGAACUUCCCCAAGCAAGUCCUAAUGUUUAUCGGCGGGCUCUGAUAGAAGGAUGUGAGUACGACUCAAUCAUCGUCUUCUACAACCGAGUCUUUAUGCACAACAUGAAGAACUUCAUUCUGCAGUUUGCUCCAACCAGACAGUCCCCCACUCUGUCUCCUGCUCCAAGGAAUAUUACCUCUCCAGUCUACAGCAUAGCAUCAAGACGCAACUUUUACGUGUCUCCGCUGAAGGACUCCCCGUUUAAACCACCGCUGUCCCCCAGCCAGAUGACUCCCAGGUCCCUGCAGCUAUACAGUUUUGGGGACAUUAGCGGGUCCAAUGAGAAGCUUCAAAGAAUAAAUGAGUCUAUGUUGCGAGCUAAAAAUGGCCUCACAAAAACCACCCCCAAGAGCCAGAAACGAUUGCACUUUGACCCUCCACCAGAAAGUUCUCCAGCAGCUACUCAAUCAUCAGAGAUUCCUACCGUGGUAAAGAAGGUCAAGAUGUCGGAAAAUUCCAGAAACCAUCCGUCAGGGACAGAAGAGAAUGGUGGGGAUGACUCCCAAGAAACUUCCCGAUGACUUCCGAUGAAUAUUAGCUUGUGAAUUUGGUAGCUACUGCUUAGUGUCUUAUCAUUGUUAAGGUAUUAUUACAUCAGUAAGAGAUUAAAUAUGUGUAGAUACAUCAUCUAUAUAUGUACAUGUAUAUCAAAGUUCAUUUUUUUUAGGAAUGUGAUAUUUUUGUUGUCUGAACCAAAGUAUUUUUAGUACAUGUA